GACGAACGCUUGCGGCGUGCCUAAGAAAUGCAAGUCGAGCGGGGAAAGAGCUUUUGUUCUUUUCUAGCGGCGAACGGUCGCGUAACACGUAGGCAACCUGCCCCAAAGACCGGGACAACACUCCGAAAGGGGUGCUAAUACCGGAUGUGUCCGUCUGCUUGCAUGAGCGGGCGAGUAAAUCCCUUCGGGGGCUUUGGGAGGGGCCUGUGGCCUAUCAGCUAGAUGGUGGGGUAACGGCUUACCAUGGCGACGACGGGUAGCUGGUCUGAGAGGAUGG
rnacentral:rRNA from 1 species